rnacentral:rRNA from 1 species
UACGUAGGGUGCGAGCGUUAAUCGGAAUUACUGGGCGUAAAGCGUGCGCAGGCGGUUUUGUAAGCCAGAUGUGAAAUCCCCGGGCUCAACCUGGGAACUGCAUUUGGGACUGCAAGGCUAGAGUACGGCAGAGGGGGGUAGAAUUCCUGGUGUAGCAGUGAAAUGCGUAGAUAUCAGGAGGAAUACCGAUGGCGAAGGCAGCCCCCUGGGUCGAUACUGACGCCUCAUGCACGAAAGCGUGGGGAGCAAACAGG